CUGAUGUCUCCACCUCCACUGCCUUAACUGGCAGGAGUAACAGCUAUAAUUCGCCAACAGGUUGACACAGCAGAGCGUGGACUUGGGCUGACAGCGCAGGACCUUUCAGCAGUUGUAAUCUACAACACAUGCUGCUCGCCGAACGCCAGGUGUGGCUCUGUGGGCGUCACGGUGAAAAACAAGAAGGGGAAAACUUCCCUGCCUUGUUAGCAUAGGAAGCACGAGGACACCCCUCCAUGAAUGAAGUACCACCUUAGCUGCAAUCCACAUCUGGAGGAUGGAAUAAAAAGGUGUCAACACACAAUCAGGUAUUGGAAUUUGGAAGAGUCAUGGUCUACAUGGAAGGCUCUGCUCAAUAAAGAACCUGCAGCACAGAGGUGUUAAAUGGUUGGUCAAAGGAAAUAUCGCUGUUAACUCCUCCUCACUGAGCUGAUGCCACGGGAGGGGAACAUAAAGAUGAGGAGACACAGCCUUUGCCACUGGAACAGAAGUGGACUGAACAGACAGAACAGAGUUCACAAGGAAGCGCAGAUGUGGAACGCACUUUUAUCAAUUAUUGGGUGUCUCCACCCCAGAUUUUUCUGGUUUGGUUGCCACGAGGAUUGUAUAAGACCUCCCCCUGGAAGAUAGGCUGCUGCGAGCUAGUAUCAUCUUGUCAUCAUUUGCCCAUACAGAUUCCAUCCUUGCCUGAACAAAGAAGAUAUCGUAUAUCUACAACAAGAAUAUCACUCAGAUAUGAAAGAAGACGAAACCUCACCAUGUGUGACAAUAUGUCGAGGCGAUCAGAUUAAGCAAGUCCGCCAGAAGGGAAAAAAUAAACCCUGUGAUUUCACUUGUGUGGAAGCUAAAGGAACAAAGCCAAUGAACGAAAACGAUAAAAACAAAAGCAGGUCCUUGGACUCUGACAACAGA